rnacentral:rRNA from 1 species
GCGUAAGCGCGCGCAGGUGGUUUCUUAAGUCUGAUGUGAAAGCCCACGGCUCAACCGUGGAGGGUCAUUGGAAACUGGGAGACUUGAGUGCAGAAGAGGAAAGUGGAAUUCCAUGUGUAGCGGUGAAAUGCGUAGAGAUAUGGAGGAACACCAGUGGCGAAGGCGACUUUCUGGUCUGUAACUGACACUGAGGCGCGAAAGCGUGGGGAGCAAACAGGAUUAGAUACCCUGGUAGUCCACGCCGUAAACGAUGAGUGCUAAGUGUUAGAGGGUUUCCGCCCUUUAGUGCUGAAGUUAACGCAUUAAGCACUCCGCCUGGGGAGUACGGCCGCAAGGCUGAAACUCAAAGGAAUUGACGGGGGCCCG